GGCGAACGGGUGAGUAAUACAUAAGUAACCUGCCCUAGACAGGGGGAUAACUAUUGGAAACGAUAGCUAAGACCGCAUAGGUACGGACACUGCAUGGUGACCGUAUUAAAAGUGCCUCAAAGCACUGGUAGAGGAUGGACUUAUGGCGCAUUAGCUGGUUGGCGGGGUAACGGCCCACCAAGCCUUCGAUGGAUAGGGGUUCUGAGAGGAAGGUCCCCCACAUUGGAACUGAGACACGGUCCAAACUCCUACGGGAGGCAGCAUG
rnacentral:rRNA from 1 species